rnacentral:lncRNA from 1 species
CUCAUGUAAGGUUAUCACAGGGGUGACCACCCAUCACCUUGGCCAUAUUCUGUUGUUCAGAAGCAAGUCACAGGGCCCAUCCUCAAGGGGAGAGGACAACCAGGCCCGAGUACAAGGAGUGGGCAUUGUGGGAGCCCCCCGAGAGUCUGGCAGCCACACUUGCUAAGUAAAAGUCAACACACACACUUAACCUCUUCACUGAGGACGCCUCCAAAAAACGGCAGCCAGGCAGCCCUGAGCACCUCUCAACGCAACUUCUCAGCAGAAGGGACCCAGCUGACCCAGAGGAGCGGCCGAGUCCAGGGAAGGGCAGGAGACGGGCAAGAUGAGCCAGGAUGUCUCGUCUUCCCAGAAACCCAGGAGACCACCCAAGACCACUGUGGUGCUGUCAAAAGAACACGGGAGCCAACCCAAAGAGGCUCCCACUGGCCCCAGCAGACGAUUUAGCAUCAGUAAGAAUAAUGGCCACAGGGCAUUGAAGCACACCAAAUGUUUGUAACUGGGGCUUGGAGUUGGGACUCUGGGCAAUUCCUCGAAGAGGCUUGGACCCGAGGACAAGGAGGAGAAGGCACAGGGCAGGAUGGCUGGCUGCCCAGAGCCUGGUGCAGUCCCAGGAUGGGGACAUGGGGGCUGCUGACCACCGAGCAGAGGCGUCUCUCUGACCCGUCUUCCCCUUCACGUCUUUCUGUCCGAAGCCAGAUUCUCUGCUCCUAAGGAUUCAUGUGAUUAUGGUAGGUCCCCCCUGGGUGGUCCAAGGUAAUCCCCCCACUUCAAGGUCCUUAAGCACAUCUGCAAAGUCCCUUUUGCCCUAUAAAGUGCCGUAUUCACAGGUUUCAGGGUUAGGAUGUGGACAUCUCUGGGGGCCAUUACUGUGUUGGCCACAGGGUGUAUCAGGGAGAGGAAGACCUCCUUCUCCUGCUUCUGAGCUCUCGGCUGGCCUGAGAUGGGCCCGCCCUGCAGCCUUGCCAGGUGGGCAGAGAGCUGGUGAGGCCUCUGGGGGUGGCCCCAUGGCUCAGCUGAUUUGGAGGCCCCGUAACCAUAAUCAUCCCUCGGGCUGACCUUGUACUAAGUCCCCAAGAGCAGACCCUGAGACAAAGGUUGGAGUGUGCCUAGCAUGUGUGGGAGGGUGCCAGUGCGAGACACAUACACUGACAGACAAUGGCCAGACCAGGCAUGACGACAGAACCCUGACCGCAGGCUGCAGCACCAGCCAGAGAGCCAGACCUCAGCCUCUGCAGCAACUGGCCCGAUGGCCAGGCUUGGUCAAUAACUGCCAGCUUCCCUAAUUUUUGUCCCCGCGUCCAACUUAGCAUCAACCAGAAGAGAAAGCCAACUGUGCCCCCUGACCUGUCACAGGAGACGCCCCACUCUAGUUGCCCGCAUCCGGUGCUCUCAGGCACCCUGAUCCUCCCUUUUUCCAUCAUAAAGCUUUCCCACCCCUGGCCUGCCACAUGCAGGUGAUGCUGGCUGACUCCCAGGCUGCCGGAAGCUCUGAAAUCGUUGCUGAUUUAAAUGGUUGGAGAUGGCACUCCCGCCUCAAUCCCCAUUCUGCUCUGAGGACCCACUUAUCACCUUGUUAAUUAAGUGCCCUGGGUGGAUCUUCUCUUGGCGUCUGUAAGUCUCGGGUGUCAUUCAUUUGGCUUGAUGCUGACACGGAACGGAGGAUAACCUAUUUCACUGGCUUUCCUUCCUCCUUAGUUUCUGUAGCCCUUGUAUAAAAUUUCCGGAUUGUAGUUCUAGGACCCUGAGGUGCUCCCUCUGGAGGAAGCCCCUGGUGUGGGUGAGUCGAGGCCUGGGUUCCGUGCUUCCCUUGCUUUUGCCCCAUCCUUAGUGACCUUCUCUGCUCCUGCAGCUGAGCCUGCCGAGGAGUUCCCCUGGGCACCUCUGGGAUUGGCCAACGCAGGGUGGGCUGGAUGUGCACAUUGUGUAUGAGGCAGGUGUGGGUGCCAGAGAACCACGGAUGCAGGAUCCCAGGAUGGUUGUCAAACUCAGUUCUUCACUUGAUUUCUUCUCACAACAUUUUAUUAUAAAAUUUUACAAACUUUUCCAGAGAAGUUGAAUGAAUUGUUCAGUGGAUACUCAUAUGCCCACCUCCCAGAUUCCACAGUUAACUUUUUCAACUUUUGCUUUUUCCAUCCAUCAAUGUGUCUUUUUGGUUUUGCCCAUUACAAAUUCACUGCCCUUGAGUUGAUGCUGAAUCCUGGGGAUCCCACCCUGCCCAGUGACUGCUUGACCUCUAUUUAAACUCUCCUGGAGACGGGAAACUCAGUACUGUUACACUUCUUCAUUCCAUCUGCUCUGGCUGUCACCAAGCCCCCUUCUGUGCCAGGGCUCCAAUGACAGUCUCUCCCAGGUGUGACCUCUCAAAAGAAGGGCCUGGAAGGGAACUGCGAGUCAGAGGCGCUGGGGCUGUUGGCGCCUGGGCCGGGCCUGCUGCAGGACUUCCCCAUCAGGAGGCCUCUGGCGGGUCCGCGAACGGGCAUUUCCGACAAGCUCCCAGCUGAGACUGCUGCUGUGUGUCCAGGACCCCAGGAGAAUCGCUGGCCCAAGCUCACACAGCGACUGGGAGGCACGGCCACCCCUUGAGCUGCCUGUCUCCUCAGGGGCCGGCUCAAGUCGUCCUCCCGGCUUCCUUGUGGCUUUCUUGUGGCUUUCCUCUCUACCUGAGUGUCCACUGGCUCUGCUGACCCUCAGGACUUGGGAUCCUGGCCAAGGCCCCAGAGGGAGGUGUCAUUAUUAGACGUGGAUGAACUAUCACACACAAUAACCUUUCUUUGCCCAGUUUAUUUUCUCACCACCCAAAGCUAAAAUGUUGUGGACAAAAAGCAAACAUGUCUGUCCAAGAAGGCCCUUGUCUCUUUCUGUAGACUGGGGAACGCUGUCUUUCAUACUCCACGUUUCCAAUUGUCAUUAAAGAAAGAGUAAACUUGCACUAAUUGUCAAUGGCUUAUUAGUACCUAUGUAGCUGACCAGGCUGGGG